UAUAAUAGAGCCUUCAAGAAGGAAUAAAACUUGGGAUAUGGGAAAAGAUAACAUGAGCAUAGGAGAGAAAGUGCUGGCUCUCAAAGCAAAUUUUAUUCAUUUGUAUGAAGGUCUGACAGGGACAAUGAAGAUGAGUCAUGAAGAUAAGGGUCAAAAGUGCUUUCAUCCAGUGGAAAUAAUGACUUCAUAUUGCAGAAAAAAGGAAAGAUGACAUUUGGUUUGCUUUAUUAAAGACUUAGUCUAUUAAUUAUAAAUGAACCUUUGUACACGGUCACUGAGAGGCAAAGUGUAAUGUGACUUUUAUAUCCAAGAAAGCAUGAAAACAUCAACAUGACUGUUGGCCCUGUGAGAUGGAGGUCUCAAAUCUGUAGUCUGGUUAACCCUCUUCCUUUAAUGUUGCUUUAAUGUUUUCUCUUUAUUUAACUAUUACUUACGAAGCCUCUUGCACACCAGGUAGUCUGCAGAGGCUAGAAAAUCAGAGAUGAAUAAAACUUGAUGCAUAUCUUCAAAGUGCACAGAGAAGGCUGGAACCAGUGGUGAAUCUUUGCACAAUGAAGAGGGAGGUGGUCCUACCUGGGAGUGUGCUGGGGAAGUUCUGUGCAUGAACAUGUGAGGGGUUCUGUAAGAAUCACCACCUGCUCACCAAAUCCUACCACAUCCUGUAGCUCAGGUGAAUUCUCCAAAUGUAUCUAGGAUACCUGGAUGAUAUUGAGGAAAAUUAUAAAAGAAUGCUGGAAAGCAAUUAUAUAUGCAAUUGUGUGCUACUCAGAUACCUUCUUACAUUAGACUCUGGAGUAAAUUAACCAGGGGCGGUUUGCAGAACCCCUGAUUUGAGAUAAAAUGUUGUAGCCACUAGCACUGCCCCUCAUGCCCCAAUUGUGAAAACUUCUCUCAUGUUGCAGAAGAUGGGAGAGCAGUGUCUGAUGGCAGUAUGCUAUAGGAAGUCAAGCAGGCUGGUAUGGUUAUAACCAGAAGCCAGGUCACACACAACCAGGUGGUGAAUACUCAUCAAAACAGGGACAACCAUGGCUUGACACUAAGGAGCCUCUGAGUGGAAUAAGAGUAAUCAUUGCAAUCUUACCAAGUUCAGAGGUCAGCACACAAUGAUCUUGAUUUCAGCUGGAGCUAUACAUCAUUCAACCAGCCACUGAUCAUGCCUCAUUUUAUCAAUGCUGAGAGCAAAGAAAUCCUGCCCAUCAUAAAAGACAAGGCCCUAUCUCAAGAUUUUAAAAUCUAGCUUGGAUACCAAUCUAGGGAAAAACUAGUAUCUCCCAAACAUCCUUUCCCCUUCCUUGAAAUCUCUCUUGUUCCUCUUCUGAUUCUUGUUUCUUUCUGCCUUUCUAUCCUAAUGAUUUUCCCUAAUUUUACACCCAGGAAUAAUUAUUAUAUUAAUAGUUUCUAUUAUAAUAAAAGCUAACAUUUUUCUAAGUGCUUACUUUGCACCAGACUCUUUCUGAAAAGCUUUGAGUAUAUUGGUCCAUUUAAUCCCCAUAAUAAAGUUAGAAACUAUUUUAACCAGUCAUAUAUUUUACUUCCAAUAUGAAUCAUUCAGAAGUGAAAUGACUUGCCGAAAGCCACAUAGUGAUUAAGCAGGGGAGCUGGCCUUCAGAUCCUGCAACCUCACCUUAGAGCUUGAUCCCAUAAGGACUGCUGUCCUCUCUGCUCACUGCCUUGUCCUCACAGCCCAAUUUGGUCACACGUGUGUUACAGCUGACUCCAGUAGGAAAUCCAGCUUCUCUUUGGCCCAUAUGAUGUUUAAAACACCUCUUAAAGGUUUUGCCUUUUGUGUGAGUCCUGUCAUUUUUGAUGGUCCCAGGAAUGGCCAGUAUGACUCUCCACUCUGCUUGGCUCAAGGUUGAUUUUUCAUGACUCAACAUGGAAUCACCAAUAAUGUCUUUGUGAACUGUCCAUAAUAAAAAUUAGGAGGGUCUUUAGAAAGAUGUGGCUUUUAUUAGGUUUAAGAAUUACAAAAUAUUAAAAUCAAACCUAAAUUACUGUUCAUGUUAUAAUUUAAAUUUUGGGAGAUGUGGUAGGGGCUCCACCAUCUAAUCUAAACUAUUUCUCUCCAAUUGAAAGAGGAAACUUUUUGCAAUCCCAAAUGGCUAAUUUCAUGAUACUACAGAGAGUCUUACGCCUUCUUUUUUUUUUUUCUUUUUUGAGAUGGAGUCUUGCUCUGUCACCCAGACUAGAGUGCAGUGAUCUCGGCUCACUGCAACGUCUGCAUCCCGGGUUCAAGUGAUUCUCCUGCCUCAGCCUCCCGAGUAGCUGGGAUUACAGGCGUGCACCACUACUCCUGGCUAAUUUUUAUAUUUUUAGUAGAUACGGGAUUUCGCCAUGUUGGCCAGGCUGGUCUCGAACUCCUGACCUCGUGAUCCACCCACCUCGGCCUCCCAAAGUUCUGGGAUUACAGGCGUGAGCCUACACCUUCUUUUUAUGGAUAGACACACAGUAGUGACAAUGAUGCUGAAAGACU
ensembl:lncRNA